GCUCAGAGUGAACGCUGGCGGUAGGCCUAACACAUGCAAGUCGAACGGCAGCACAGUAAGAGCUUGCUCUUACGGGUGGCGAGUGGCGGACGGGUGAGGAAUACAUCGGAAUCUACUUUUUCGUGGGGGAUAACGUAGGGAAACUUACGCUAAUACCGCAUACGACCUACGGGUGAAAGCAGGGGACCUUCGGGCCUUGCGCGAUUGAAUGAGCCGAUGUCGGAUUAGCUAGUUGGCGGGGUAAAGGCCCACCAAGGCGACGAUCCGUAGCUGGUCUGAGAGGAUGAUCAGCCACACUGGAACUGAGACACGGUCCAGACUCCUACGGGAGGCAGCAGUGGGGAAUAUUGGACAAUGGGCGCAAGCCUGAUCCAGCCAUACCGCGUGGGUGAAGAAGGCCUUCGGGUUGUAAAGCCCUUUUGUUGGGAAAGAAAUCCAGCCGGCUAAUACCUGGUUGGGAUGACGGUACCCAAAGAAUAAGCACCGGCUAACUUCGUGCCAGCAGCCGCGGUAAUACGAAGGGUGCAAGCGUUACUCGGAAUUACUGGGCGUAAAGCGUGCGUAGGUGGUUGUUUAAGUCUGUUGUGAAAGCCCUGGGCUCAACCUGGGAACUGCAGUGGAAACUGGACGACUAGAGUGUGGUAGAGGGUAGCGGAAUUCCUGGUGUAGCAGUGAAAUGCGUAGAGAUCAGGAGGAACAUCCAUGGCGAAGGCAGCUACCCUGGACC
rnacentral:rRNA from 1 species